GAGCUCACCAGGCACAUGUGUAGUAUCUCCAUGGCAACGCCAUAGAACAAGACCAGCCACCUCAGCUCUGUGGUUGGUUCCUUGCUGUGCUCCAUUCUGAGCACAGUGCUAGUGACUGCUCCUCAGCGUGGCUGGAUUCCCAAAGCAUCACCAGAACCUUCCACCCAGAAUCCAGUGAGGAGUGACCAGAAAAGGUUCGGCACUAACAACUCUUUCCCAGGAUUGCCUGUGACUGAACUGUGGGUAAAAAGAUACAACCUGAAAUUGUGUCCAGUGAAUCCCCAGCCUGGCUCUGGUCCCGUCAGGGCUCCUCUUUGAACCUGUUUGUCUGCUCAGAAAAUGGAGGAGGUGGGCGCUGCUAUUAUCCCCACGUGUAGUCAACAAACCUGAAGCACCAAGAAGUUAAACUUGCCCAAACGGAAGACAAAGGACACGUGUUCUGAGAAGAGUCCCACU